CCACAGACGCAGGUAGCUUAACCUUCGGGAGGGCGCUUGCCACGGUGUGGCCGAUGACUGGGGUGAAGUCGUAACAAGGUAGCCGUAUCGGAAGGUGCGGCUGGAUCACCUCCUUUUGAGCAUGACAGCUACGCCUACAGGCGUCCUCACAAGUAACCUGCAUUCAGAGAGUUCCGCCAUAGGGCGGAGCACCCCGAUUUCGGGGCCAUAGCUCAGCUGGGAGAGCACCUGCUUUGCAAGCAGGGGGUCGUCGGUUCGAUCCCGACUGGCUCCACCAGAUUUGCAGAUCCCUCUGCAAACGCUCGCACCUGCGUGUGCGGACGGUCUCAGGGACCUGCAAGAGCCAAGACUUUGGGUCUGUAGCUCAGGUGGUUAGAGCGCACCCCUGAUAAGGGUGAGGUCGGUGGUUCGAGUCCUCCCAGACCCACCACUCUGAAUGUAAGAAGCACACUAAGAAUUUAAGAUGCGCCAGCAGUGAGGCUGGGGUAUGUUCUUUUAAAAUUUGUGACGUAGCGAGCGUUUGAGAUCAAACUAUCUUGACGUGUCGUUGUGGCUAAGGCGGAACCUCGAGUCCCUAGAAAUUGAGUCGUUAUAGUUCGCGUCCGCCCGUCUACCCACGGACUC
rnacentral:misc_RNA from 1 species